AGUUCCUUAUUGCUGUAACUUAAGACUGACUAUUAAUGAAUUGUCCUGCUUAAGAAGUCACUUUUUAUCUGGACUUCGAAUCUUAUUGCCUCGGGAGUCUGGACACAGAGACUCGGUCUUCGUUUCCACAGACAGAGGAAGGAAGGGAACUCACUUUCCAGCAUGCAGUCAUGAGGCACCCUGACCACAGGGGGAUCUUUCAAGCCGAGUAAGAAGCUGAAGAAGAAAGGAAAUGAAUGACCAUGAGAAUCCAGAACAUUAAAGCGAAACCAAAGCAGCAACUCAGAGACUCCAUCUAAGUAGCUGUUGUAGGAUUUCCUCACCACAUCCUGUUGUGGAUAUUCCCAGGGGAUCUCAAUCCACUAAGAAACCAGAGGCACAUGGAUUAUGUUGUUUGUCAAAUAUGCUAUGAUUUCAAU